rnacentral:tRNA from 1 species
UCCGCCGUGGUGUAAUUGGCAGCACCUCAGAUUUUGGUUCUGAUAGUUCAGGUUCGAGUCCUGGCGGCGGAGC